rnacentral:rRNA from 1 species
AGGACGAACGCUGGCGGCGCGCUUAAUACAUGCAAGUCGAGCGAGAACCAGGGCUUCGGCUCUGGGGACAGCGGCGAACGGGUGAGUAACACGUGGGUAAUCAACCCCCGACACCGGGAUAGCCCAGGGAAACUUGGAUUAAUACCGGAUGCUCCGUCUGGCCUUCGGGCCGGCCGGAAAAGGGUAGCUUCGGCCUCCGGUCGGGGACGAGCCCGCGGCGGAUUAGCUUGUUGGUGAGGUAAAGGCUCACCAAGGCGACGAUCCGUAGCUGGUCUGAGAGGACGAUCAGCCACACUGGGACUGAGACACGGCCCAGACUCCUACGGGAGGCAGCAGUAGGGAAUCUUGCGCAAUGGGCGAAAGCCUGACGCAGCGACGCCGCGUGAGGGAAGAAGGCCUUCGGGUUGUAAACCUCUUUCAGGAGGGACGAAGCCACUCGGGUUAAUAGCCCAGAGGGUGACGGUACCUCAGAAGAAGCCCGGCUAACUACGUGCCAGCAGCCGC